UAUUGCACAAUGGGGGAAACCCUGAUGCAGCAACGCCGCGUGAGUGAUGACGGCCUUCGGGUNGUAAAGCUCUGUCUUCAGGGACNNUANNNANGGUACCUGAGGAGGAAGCCACGGCUAACUACGUGCCNNNANCCGCGGUAAUACGUAGGUGGCGAGCGUUGUCCGGAUUUACUGGGCGUAAAGGGAGCAUAGGCGGACUUUUAAGUGAGAUGUGAAAUACUCGGGCUCAACUUGAGUGCUGCAUUUCAAACUGGAAGUCUAGAGUGCAGGAGAGGAGAAUGGAAUUCCUAGUGUAGCGGUGAAAUGCGUAGAGAUUAGGAAGAACACCAGUGGCGAAGGCGAUUCUCUGGACUGUAACUGACGCUGAGGCUCGAAAGCGUGGGGAGCAAACAGG
rnacentral:rRNA from 1 species